CCCUUAGAUGUUCUGGGCCACACGCGUGCUACACUGAACGGUUCAAUGGGUGAGGUAGUGCGAAAGCAUGACCCAAUCUCUAAAUCCGUUCGUGCUGGGGAUAGAAGCUUGCAAUUAUCCUUCUUGAACGAGGAAUACCUUGUAGGCGUGAGUCAUCAUCUCGCGCCGAAUACGUCCCUGCCCUUUGUACACACCGCCCGUCGCUCCUACCGAUUGAGUGGUCCGGUGAGGCUUUGGGAGGACUGGAUGGAUUGUGUUUCACAAACUAUUCGGGCUGAACUUAGUCAAACCUUAUCACUUAGAGGAAGGAGAAGUCGUAACA
rnacentral:rRNA from 1 species